GAAGCUUUCAAACUAGUCAGUGCAAGUAGUAUGUGUUGUUUUUAGUACGUAUUAGUCAUUUAUAAAUGAGAAGGUGGAGAUAUUUGAAAAAGAAAUCACCCAUGCCCCUCCCAUGCAGGUCACAUGAUAAGGAUUGUCACCAACUUAUUCUGCAAAUGAGCUUGUGUCUUGCUACUAGUAAGAGGACCAGCACAAAACUCAUUGGUUUUUCUGACUGAACAAACUUUAUUCCAGUUUCAUCAAGGAGAAAUCAACCUAACAGUCUUGGACAAUUCUAUUGGAAAACAGAAUUUCCUUUACAGUGGAGAUCUGUAACCUGAUGCAUCUACCCUGUUGAUCAGUGGCUGUUCCAAAGCUGUGGAAUAACCUUCCUUGGGAGACUGGACUGGUACCCCUCUGCGCUUUAUAAGCAAGUAAGUAAGGUCGACAGAAGCUGGGGCUAACAGAGGGAGCUCACCCUGCUCCCCGGAUUCAAACCACUGAACUUUCGGUCAGCAAGUUCAACAGCUCAGCAGUUUAACCCGCUGCGCCAUCAGAAACAAGUCCAAGAGAUGUAACCAAUAAAAUCUACCUAAAAUAUCUAAGAUUGGACAAAAAGAAACUGCAAGAUAAUCGGUGACCAAUUACUUUAAAAUUGAAGAGAAACAUAGUAACUCCUCUUUUUGUCAAGAUGAAACAGGCACCACUUUAAAGAUCAUAAGAAAACAAGAUUGCAUAAAGAUGGAGAUUAAUGUUUUGCCCAGGAAGGACAGAAUCCUAAAUAAUACAGAUUUCUGAGAAACCAACUGUUCUUGUUACCUUGAAUCCUAAUGCCUUUAAGUAGCAUAUGAUCUACAGACAUUGAAGUUAUCAGCAGUCAUAAGAACCUUUGGCCAAGUGGCUCUACUUGAUAGCCUUUCUUGGUCCCUCCCUGCUGCUCCAUUGGUGUCAUGAAAAACAGAUUUUGAGCUGCCUGACAUUUAAAAUGAUGUAUUCAUUGAAAGGUAAUGGUGACCCAGGUGAAGGCACAAGUAAGAGCUAUAAACAAGAACACAGCCUUGCUCUCAAUGAUAAAAUUGAGAACUGGACAAAAGAGCAUGUAAAACAAUGGGUAAUCAGUGAACUGAAGCUUGAAGAGAAACAUGGUAACAUCCUUCUUCAUCAGGAUGUGACAGGCUCCAUUCUGAAGAUCUUGACCAAGGAAGACCUUCUAGCAAUGGGGAUGCCCCAUGGCCCAGCAAUUAAAAUAAUGCAUGCAGUGAAAGGGAAUGGUGAUCCAGCUAAAAGAUCUACCAUGGUUUCCAGGCAAGAACACAGUACAGAGAUUUUUGAUGGUAAACUAUCAAAUGAAAGCAAAGAUGGAAGGCUCAUAGAAGCAAACAAUGAAAUGAAAUCAGAUGCUGCUAGUAAACAAACAGGGUUUGCAAGAUCAGAAUGCACUGAAUCACCAGAAUUUGUACUUCAAGAAAGUAAUCACUUUCCCACUAGGCAAACAUGUCUACCAUAUCCCUUUGAUGAAUUUCACGACAGUCAUCGUUACAUAGAACAUUAUGUUCUCCAUAUACCUGAAACUGGGCCACUAAAUCUCAUUGAUCCAGUCCAUGAAUUUAAGCUCUUUACAAACACAGAUAAUGCCACAGAGGAGAAUCUAAAAAUGAAAUUUUGCAAUGAGGUUUUUAGAUUUGCAGCAGCAUGCAUGAACUCCCGUACUAAUGGUACUAUUCACUUAGGCAUACGGGAUAAUCCCCAUGGGGAAAUUAUUGGAGUGAAAGUCCAAAAUAAAGAGAAAUAUAUUAACUAUUUUGACUUGAUGAUAAAUCAGUACUUUGUAAACGCUGUUGGUGUUGCAAAAGAUUGCAUUAGGAAACCUAGGUUUGUGGAAGUGUUGCAUCAAAAUGGUGUUGCAUCGGAAACUUUUGUGAUCGAGGUUGAUGUCAUUCCAAAAUCCUCUAGUUGUCAAUCUAAGUCUUUUCCUACAAAUACAUACAAUUUUAAAAGCAAAAAAUGGGAGCCAGGUUUAUUCAUAAGAGAUGGUGCUGCUUCUAAAAAUAUAAAAAAUAAUAAUAAGGAAUAUAAGUCAUUUAUAUCUAAAUUGCAGGAAAAAGUUGCAAAUAGAAAAGAAGCUGAGGAAGAACAUGCAGAAAAAAAACGGAAGAGAAAGGAUGAAGGCCACAAGCUGGUCCGUCUACUCACAGGCAACAAAGACUUGCUAGAUAACUCCUAUUAUGAUUGGUAUAUUUUAGUUACCAACAAAUGUCAUCCACAUGAUACACAGCAUGUUAACUUCUUACAAGAAAUUAAUGUAUUUGCUGUCCUUGACUUUGAUCCAGAGUCAGUGAGCAGUGGUGUGGUCAAAGCAUUCAGAGAAAACAGAGCUGCAAACCUUCAUUUUCCAAAACAAUACCAGAAACCCCUAAAUUCAGCAUCUGACACAAUUCAGGAACUGAAUCUCUAUCAGCAACCAAGCUGGAUUUUCUGCAAUGGCAGAUCAGACCUGAACAGUGAAGCAUAUCAGCCAUUGAACCCAAGUGUCUGGCAGCAACAGAGAGCAGCUGAAGUCAGGAAACUGAUCUCAUUUCUUUCCCACCCUGAUGUAAUGCAAAGAGGGAAGUUUUUGGUGCUGUUUAUAUUGCUGUCAAAAGUGGAAGAUCCAGGUGAUCCCAUGAUUGAAACAUUGUGUACAUUUUAUCAAGAACUCAAAGGACUUGAUGACGUGCUUUGUAUUUGUAUUGGAACACAGACAUAUUACCGCUGGAAGGAUCUCCUGCAAGCCAGAUUUAUUGACGCAGAUAAACUAGCAGACAGGUGCAUAUCUGGCUUGACCUUACCAAUGGUGAAUGGUACUAUCCAAAAGUUAAAGUCAGUGACCCAAACUUCUCAAAGACUUUUGCCGUCAAAGGAGGGUUCAUCUACCAUUCUGUUAAAGAAAGAUGAAGACUUCAUGGCUGCACUGGAAAUACUCUGUGAAAAUGAAUGCCAAGACACAGAGAUUGAAAAAGAUGAAAAACGAUUUUCUAAAUUUAAAAAAAAUCAAGAAGAGCAUUUUUAUCGUGGUGGGAAAGUGGCUUGGUGGAAUUUUUAUUUCUCUUCUGAACACUACAGUUCUUCUUUUAUUAAGCGAGAUGCAUUUGAGAAGCUCGAAGAUCUAAUUGUAUCAGGGCCUCCAUAUUCUAAACAAUCGUCUACAAAAAUUAUCAACCUCUACCAUCAUCCAGGCUGUGGUGGUACCACUUUAGCCAUGCAUAUUCUUUGGGAACUGAGAAAUAAAUUCAGGUGUGCUGUUUUAAAAAACAAAACAAUUGAUUUUUUAGAAAUUGGAAGACAACUGACCACCCUAAUUACAUCUGGGACAUCAAACAAGUUUGAUUAUUUGCCAGUAUUGCUGCUUGUGGAUGAUUUUGAGGAACAAGAAAAUGUUUACCAGCUACAACAUGCUAUCCAAUCCGCCAUAGCAGAACAUGGAAUUAUAUAUGAAAAUCCUCUGGUCUUCAUCUUAAAUUGUAUGAGAUCGCAGAACCCUGAAGAGAGUGCAAAGAACAACAGUCUGAAUAGUAUUGCUUUGAAGCAAAAAUUAUCUCUGAAAGAACAAAGAGCUUUUGAGGAAAAACUGAAAGAAAUUGAAUCUCAGUAUGACCAUCCGGAAGAUUUUUAUUCAUUUAUGAUUAUGAAAGAAAACUUUCAUCAAGAAUACAUAGAGAAUGUAGUCAAAAACACACUGAAAGGUCUAAAUGUUACAAGUAAGCAAGUUCAACUUAUAUCUUUUCUGGCACUUCUUAAUUCAUAUGUUACAGAGUCCACAAUCUCAGUAUCACAAUGUGAGGAAUUUUUGGGAAUAAGUACCAAAAAGACUUACUGGGGCCCAGAAAAGUUGGAUGACAAGAUGGGAAAUUGCUCUAACAUUAUUAUACAAACAGAAGUGCAAGAGCGUGGACAGUACAAAGCGGUGCGCAUCAGUCACUCACUAAUUGCUGUGCAAUGUCUGGAAGAAUUUAAACAAACAUACAAAUUGACUAAAAGUGAAAUUACCCUUUUAUUGCUAAGAGAGAAUUCAUUUUAUGAGGUUGGCAUAGGAAAAGACAAACUUCAGCAAGAUGUCCAAAGCAUGCUGCUUACAAGGCACCGAAGAGAACAUGGAGAUGACACAGACACGUUAUUUUCCCCAUUAAUUGAAGCCAUUCAAAAAGAAGAAGAAAACACCAAAGUUGAAUGUGUGUUGAUGGAGGGGACUAACAGAUUCAGCAAAAAUGUAUUUAUUAGCCAAGCCUUAGCAAGGCAUUUCUACAUCAAGGAAAAGAAUUUUGACAGUGCAUUAGAAUGGGCUAGAAGAGCUAAAAAAGGAGCCCCUAAUAACUCAUAUAUAUCAGACACUUUGGGUCAAGUUUUUAAAAGUAUGAUAAAGCACUGGCUUGAAGAAAAUACAGAGAAACCCACAAUAACUGUGGAAAUUCUGGAUGAUUUGUUGAAUCUUGCAAAGUGUGCCUCAGAGGCAUUUAAAGAAUCUCAACGACAAACUGAAAAUAAAGACAGUGAAGGAGAAUUUUAUCAAAAUAUGAAACACAAGAGAAGGUAUGAAAUGUAUAAUACAUCUGGUUAUUCAGGAGAAAUAGAAACUGGUCUAUAUGCUAUAAAAAUUACUGAAUUUACACCUUUGUUCAACAAACAAGAUGAUCUUUCUAGAAAACAUAUCACACAGUUUUUCUCAGGAAACUGUGAUAUCCCAAAAGCUACAAGUGGUACAGAUUGUGAAAACUAUAGCCUGAUUCUUAAGAAGUAUGCAAAUUAUUUAAGUAAGUUGCAAGUUGACCUUAAAAAUGCAUUCGACUUUUUUGACAACUACUUCAUCUUUCUGAAGCCAAAGAAUCCAGAAAAGGAAACUGUUGAGUUCAAAAUACGGAAUAAAAUUCAAGAACUUUUCAAGAAAUAUGCAGAAAUAUUUUGCCACUCUGAUUUUGAUUGGCUAAAGAAAUCAAAAUUAAGUUCAUCGUUGCUGAUGGAAAAUUACAGGAAGAGUUUAGAAGUUUCUAAGGCAGACAAGUUUUCUGGAAUUCUGGAAUAUCUUGGCAACCAUGAAAAUGCUGUAAGCAAAAUGGAGGACAUUGUGAAAAAGUAUGACAAUCUGCUUUCUCAGAGCUCCACCAAAUUUAUUCAGAGGGACAAACUGAAUUUUAUUUUGGCCAAUAUUGUCCUCCAUUGUCUCAGUCCAAAAUCCAAGAUGGUGCACUCUUUUCUAGACCUCAGAGAACAGCUGAAAGUGAUUCUACAGUCAAUUGGUCCUGAUCAUCGAUACUCAGAACCAUACUUCUUAGCUUCCUUAUUGUUUUGGCCUGAAAAGCAAAAUUAUCUAGAUAAAGAUUAUAAACAAAUGGAAAGGUAUCUCGCUGCACUGAAGAAGGCAUUUAACAGCAAGUACUGGAAAAUGAGCCGUUCCAAGCAACCGAUAGCAUUUUUCUACCUCGGAAAAGGAAGCCACUUGAACAAAUUCAUUCACAAAGGAAAACUUGAUCAGUGUGUUACUACCAAGAUUAGGCAUGAAAAAAAAUCCAAAAUAAGUGAGACACUUAAUGCCCAGUGGCAGAGUGGAGAGAUAUGGAAAACAGAUGAAGUUAAACGCCUUUUGCUACGAUUGACUGGCAAAGUGGAAGGUGAUCAAAUUAAUGUGGAUUAUGGCACUGAUGAAUACAUCGAAAUUCCAGCAAGACCUGUUUACCUAGGCCAAUUAAAAAGUGGUCGCAGCAUUGAACGAGUGUCUUUCUACUUGGGUUUUUCCAUUGAAGGACUGAUAGCAUAUGACAUUGAAAUUAUUUAACUGGUUUGGGGUUUUUUAAAAUGUUCUUCUGCAGUACCAAUAUAUGCUGCAUCAUACAUUGGUAGCAUAUAGUUUGUAGCUAGCUUCAAUCUUACAGUUUAUUAAUUUUGUUAAGCUGAUAGACAUUGACAAAUAUGAGCUUUUUUACAAUCCAUAUAGGUCAUGCAAACUGUUUCCACAUGAACAUUUAUUAUUUUAAUCAAUAAAUAAGAGGGCCAGAAUAAUGGUCAAUAGUGGCCACUCAAAGUGACUUCUCAGCUCUUCAUUUUAUCCAAUGGAACCAUUGUGGUUUGGGUCUCUUCCUAGUUUCUGUUUGAAAUGUGUGUUUCUCUUACAUUGUUAGAUGUAUUUCUUGACUAACAUAUGCCCAGACCAUGUUUUAAUACUUAAAGCCCUCAGAAGACUGUACAAAUAGUAGAAUAUAUUAAUGCCAAUCUAAAUAAUUCUUUUUAAAGUAGAUGCACAAACUUGUUGAAUACUAACAGCAUUAAAAAUCAACAUUAAUUUCUCCCAAAUUACAAAAUGUGUCUAGAAAUGAAUUUUUGUUGUCCUUAUAGAAUAUUCUUCUUAUUCAAGAAUUUGAUUGGCUUCAAACUGAAAGCUUUUAAGUGCUGACAAAAUCUGGGCUCUUUGAGGCAUAUCUCAGAAAAGGCUGGUGAUCGUUCUAUGAGUUGGCUUGUUGUGCUAUGAUGAUGGUACUAAGCAAUGUCAUUCCUAAAUGUUUUAUGUUCUGUUUGUUUAUAUUACUUUGCUUCCUUUGAAUUUAAUGACUGAUUUUAAUGUUGUCAAUAACUUAGAUUUAAGAAUAAGAUAAAUAAAAUGUAUAAGCACUGCAAGCUUUUUAAACAUCUUAACUUUUGUAUGUUUUUAUUUUUUUAACGUACUCUAUGAUUUUAGUUGUUUUGUACUGUGUAAUAUAUCCAUAUUUUUUAUUCUAAGAUACCAUUGAUUGUAAGAGUCACAGUAAUAUCAGGAGUACCAACAGGGAAUGGGGAGCAUAUAUAUAAACACUCACCAUUCUAGGAUACAUCCUGUUUUUAGAGAUAUUGAUAUGGGGAAAAGUGUGUCUCCGAAUUAAAGAAAUACAGUAUGUUUUAACUUGCUGUUUUGUAACCUGCCUUGGGUUCCUAUCUGGGGGAAAGAUAACAUAUAAAUAAAGCAACUAACUAAAUAAACUUGUAACCUGCCAACAUUAAA